rnacentral:lncRNA from 1 species
CUUGCACCAUAAAAGAACGAUGGAAACAGUGGUAAAAAAAUCACCUGAAAUGAGAAACGAGAAGGCGGUCAUUAGAGAAGGUUUUGGGUUUUGGCUGCAGCGGCUUGGCCGGGCUUUACCCAUGGUUUCAGACUCACUCAUCGAUCAUUUGGCUCCAAUUUAGGUAUAGAGAGGCUUGGGAUUGAAUUUCAAUCGUGAA